rnacentral:lncRNA from 1 species
AGUGCACGGCGUUCACCCCCAUGCCGGGGGGCGCGGCGGGUCCUCCACGGAGAAAUUCAAGGAAGGAGGCUCCGGCUCAUAGCCGACACCUUCGCUUCCAAGAGAAUUGCCUCACCCGGGGCGUGAGGAAAGGGCGGCAGAGGGGGAACAGGAAAAAAUGACUCCGAGGAGGGGACCGGAGAAGGCGGGGGCGCCGGAGGCGCAGUGGAAAGAUGAAUGGAGGUUGCCUAGUCGGCGGAGUCCGGGUGUGACGCCCUUUAGGAGCCCGCGCCCGCCGCAACCGCCUGGAGGCGACGCAUAACUUCGAGGGCCUCGGACCUCCGGAGCCUGAGCAAGUUCCAGGAGCUCGAGCCGCCACGACGGCCCGAGCCGGCACGGACGGCCCCAGGAGAUUCGUCACGGAAACCUCGCCCCACCAAGGCGGCCCCUAAAGACAAAACGGCCCGCCCGAGGCUUAUAGGUGGAAGGGACUUGCCUUGUCUCAGGUGAUGUCUGAUGACCCUGACCUGUCUUCAGGAAAAAUCCUGUUAGAUCAGGUCCCUGCUGAAGAUGAGGAGGAAGAAUUACUGGUGAAAACCUGAAGUUUGAAAAAGUAAAUCCAAAUUGCUCUUUUGUCUAGUGUUUUGGGAAACAAGGAAGAGGGAAUGAAAUCUCUGUUUUAAAAUUUUAUUAUUUCUGUUAUUGCACAUUCACAAUUCACUAUAUUUCAUGCAUUCUUUAAAGAUCUAAUUUUUUUAAUUGGAUAUUGAAUAUCUACAAUGUGAUAACUAUAAAACACCUGUAAAACUUAAAUAACAAUACCAUGAUACCUAUAUAUUCAAUAUCUAGUUUAAGCAUAGGCUAUUAUUACCAUAACUUCG